rnacentral:rRNA from 1 species
UUGUCGUGCCAACGGCAUAGCUGGGUAGCUACGUAUGGACGAGAUAAACGCUGAAAGCAUCUAAGCGUGAAACUCCCCCUAAGAUGAGAUCUCUCACUCCGAGAGGAGGUAAGGGCCCAGGAAGACUACCUGGUAGAUAGGCCGGAGGUGGAAGUGCAGUAAUGUAUGGAGCUGACCGGUACUAAUCGCCCGAGGGCUUGACCUAC